rnacentral:rRNA from 1 species
AUUGAACGCUGGCGGCAGGCCUAACACAUGCAAGUCGAACGGUAACAGGAAGAAGCUUGCUUCUUUGCUGACGAGUGGCGGACGGGUGAGUAAUGUCUGGGAAGCUGCCUGAUGGAGGGGGAUAACUACUGGAAACGGUAGCUAAUACCGCAUAACGUCGCAAGACCAAAGAGGGGGACCUUCGGGCCUCUUGCCAUCGGAUGUGCCCAGAUGGGAUUAGCUAGUAGGUGGGGUAACGGCUCACCUAGGCGACGAUCCCUAGCUGGUCUGAGAGGAUGACCAGCCACACUGGAACUGAGACACGGUCCAGACUCCUACGGGAGGCAGCAGUGGGGAAUAUUGCACAGUGGGCGCAAGCCUGAUGCAGCCAUGCCGCGUGUAUGAAGAAGGCCUUCGGGUUGUAAAGUACUUUCAGCGGGGAGGAAGGGAGUAAAGUUAAUACCUUUGCUCAUUGACGUUACCCGCAGAAGAAGCACCGGCUAACUCCGUG